UACGUAGGCAGCAAGCGUUGUUCGGAAUUACUGGGCGUAAAGUGUGCGCAGGCGGCUGAGCAAGUCGAGUGUGAAAGCCCCGGGCUUAACUUGGGAAUUGCGCUCGAAACUACUUGGCUGGAGUGUGGCAGAGGAAGGUGGAAUUCCACGUGUAGCGGUGAAAUGCGUAGAGAUCCGGAGGAACACCAACGGCGAAGGCAGCGCCCUGGACGAGACCUGACGCUCAGGCACGAAAGCUGGGGGAGCAAACAGG
rnacentral:rRNA from 1 species